rnacentral:rRNA from 1 species
AGGAUUAGAUACCCUAUUAUUUUUAGAAACCUUAGGUAGUAGAAAAUUUUUCAAAACCUCUGCAGUUUGGCGGCAUUUAAUCAUUUUAGAGGAACCUGUCUUUUAAUCGAUACCCCACGAUAAAUUUUACUUCCACUUACAUCUUGUAUACCUCCAUCUCAAGGAUUAAUAUAAACAUUUUCCCCUUAAUAGAGGCCUAAAAAGUUAGGUAAAGGUGCAGACUAUGUGAAAGAUAAGAUGGGUUACUAUAAAUAAAUUUAAGAAUUCCCGGCAAACCCCAAAAAUGAAAAAGGAUUUAUUAGUAAUAAAAGAAUAUUAAUCUUCCAUGAAACUGAUAAACAAUGUGCACACAUC